ACAAACUUUGCCUCCGCAAUGUCUGGGUAGGGGAGACUGUGUCAGGAGUGGCUGAAAUUUGCUAUCAAUACCAGUAUUGAACUGUGUCUAUUCAAGCCACGAAACACCUCCUGACCCCAAGAAAAGAAGGAAAAAAGAAAAAAGGAAAGAGGAAAGGGAAAAAGAAGAAUGAAGGAAGAAAGGAGGAAGGAAGAAGAAAAAGGAAGAAGAAAGCUGCAAGGAAGGAGGGAAAGAAGGAGGAAAGAGGAAGAACAGAAGGAACUUUUAAAGCCCAGGAACACAUGCUGUCAGAGUGGUGACGUCAUGGCCCCUGCCCAUUGGCUGUCGGAGCAGUGACAUCAUCAUACCUGCUGGAAGUUGCUGCCAUACCCCUGAGAGAGAAUGAGACAGAAGUAACAUGUUAACAUUGUCACGAACAGAGUUUUCACCUUGAAGAUGCCUUGAAAGUGUAUCGGGGCCCCAGAGCUCUCUGGACCACUUUGAGAACCACUCAGUCCUCUAAACUGCUGAAAACUGGUGCCUUUGUGAACACAAAUCAGGGCAACUUGGAGUUUCUGUGCUGGAAGGACGGCUUCAGAGGAGCUCAUCGUGGCCAGAAAAAUGCAGGAGGAUGAAGAGGUGAAUCUGGGAGGCAGACAGGAACAAUCAACUGAACAAAUACAGGAUGCCAGCCUGUGUGAAGUGUAGCAGAGGGCGUGCAAAGACAUCGCUCUGCCCUCGGGCUUCUGAAGAAGCCUGUGCGCGCGCGGCCAGGAAUGCAGGGCGCAGCGACCUCUCGACCCACGGCCAGCGCACCGCCCCAGCGCCACAGCCUGGGAUCCCAGAGCCACAGCCUGGGAUCCCUGAGCCACAGCCUGGGAUCCCUGAGCCGGCCCGGCCGCCACGAACACUCAGGGCCACGUGGCCUGACGUCUGCAGUGGGAGAUUCAGACGGAACUGUUUGCUGACUGCCUACAACAUGCCAGGCACCACAUGCCAGCAGAGGCCAUCGAGACACUCUGCCUCUGUCCCCAGUGCCCCACAUAUUUCCAGCUCACAGAUACGUUUUGUUUGGCCUUGCGACAAUUUUAAAGCUUGUAAAAUAAUAAAGUAAUAUAAUUUUAGUAAUAUUAAAAUGACAUUAAUUAAAAUUAUGUGAACCCUGAAAAUCUGAGACCGGUCUCAGUUAAUUUAAAAAGUUUACUUGGCUGGGUGUGGAGGCUCACGCCUGUAAUCUCAGCACUUUGGGAGGCUGAGGCGGGCGGAUCACAAGGUCAAGAGAUCGAUCAAGACCAUCCUGGCCAACAUGGCGAAACCCCGUCUCUACUAAAAAUACAAAAAUUAGCUGGGCAUGGUGGUGUGUGCUGUAAUCCCAGGUACUUGGGAGGCUG
rnacentral:lncRNA from 10 species